rnacentral:rRNA from 1 species
GGCUUCGGGCUCUUCUUGCGCAGCUUAGGUGGAAGGCUGAGAAAGGCAAUUCCGGUUGUCUGGAGCCAUCAGUGAGAUACCACUCUGGGAGAGCUAGGAGUCUAAUGGCGUUCCUUGAAUCAGGACGCUUGACAGUUUCAGGUGGGCAGUUUUACUGGGGCGGUAGCCUCCUAAAAGGUAACGGAGGCGUGCAAAGGUUCCCUCAGGCUGGACGGAAAUCAGCCAUAGAGUGUAAAGGCAGAAGGGAGCUUGACUGCAAGACCUACAAGUCGAGCAGGGACGAAAGUCGGCCUUAGUGAUCCGACGGUGCCGUGUGGAAGGGCCGUCGCUCAACGGAUAAAAGUUACUCUAGGGAUAACA